rnacentral:rRNA from 1 species
AGAGUUUGAUCCUGGCUCAGAACGAACGCUGGCGGCAGGCCUAACACAUGCAAGUCGAACGCCCCGCAAGGGGAGUGGCGCACGGGUGAGUAACGCGUGGGAACCUGCCCUUCGGUUCGGGACAACCCAGGGAAACUUGGGCUAAUACCGGAUGAGCUCCGCGAGGAGGAAAGAUUUCUCGCCGGAGGAGGGGCCCGCGUCGGAUUAGGUAGUUGGUGAGGUAACGGCUCACCAAGCCUUCGAUCCGUAGCCGGUCUGAGAGGAUGAUCGGCCACACUGGGACUGAGACACGGCCCAGACUCCUACGGGAGGCAGCAGUGGGGAAUAUUGGACAAUGGGGGCAACCCUGAUCCAGCCAUGCCGCGUGGAUGAUGAAGGCCUUCGGGUUGUAAAGUCCUUUCGCGCACGACGAUGAUGACGGUAGGCGAGAAGAAGCUU